CGAGGGGUGAGAAAGCACUCCCUGGGGCUCCUGGGAAGGCAGCCCUGCCUCUUGUCCUCACGCGGCUGGACAGGGCCAUGGUGCCGAGACCUAUACUCCAGACAUCUUGCUCCUAGGACACGGAUGGCAGGAAACUUCGUGUUGACAUGGUGGGGCCACCCAACUGAAGCGAACGCACUAUUGAUCAACACAGAAGUGUCACUCAGGCCUGCACUAGAAUCUGCAUGAAUGGACACAUCAACACUUUCCCUCGUGGAGUUUUGGGAGUCUUUCUUCUUGCACUGUACUCUGUUGGAAAUACUAAUGCAUCCACUAAUGCAUCUCCCAGGGGCACUGGCACUGAAGAAGAGGGGCAUGCCGAUUUCCAUGGAUCUCUGAUUUGUGGAUCAAUAGUUUUGAGCAGUGUAACGAUCCUCACAGGGGUCUUACUGCCUUUCCACAAGGAUGGGGGCCAGUUGCGUGGCCUUAAAAGUGUCGCAGAUGGUGCAGAACUGGAAACCUACUGGUACUCAUUUAAGUGCCUUUUAGCUCAUUUCUGAGCAGGCCAUCAAAAAAGAAGUUAAGGCUGGACCCGAGGAAGCCAUCUAUGAGGUGGACACACCAGACCUUAAAUGAGCCUUGGUCAAUGCUCGGUGGAAGAGUCCAGGCAUCAAAUACUACCUGUUUCAGUUAUUUUAAAGCAGGGAGAAACAAGGGGAGAAAAUUCGGCUCCUAAGAACUUCUUGAAGGAAACCAGUCUUUACAAGACCCACUUCUGAACUACGAUACUGCUCAACUUUGCUACAGGUGAGUAGCAUCAUUUCACAAGCAAAGGCAAUUCCACUUCCCCCUUCUGAGCCUCCGUGCGCCGAUCCCCAACAUGAGGGUGUUGGAUUAAAUGAUAGUUGAAGUGUCUUUUCUUUGAUUCUUUUAAUGACAUGAGAUUUACUUUUGAGAUUCCCACUUUUUGCCCCACACAUUCAUUGCUCAAUAAGUCAGUUUGUGAAACCAUACUCGAAAAAUUCCGUAUCAAUGAGUAUAAUG